UGGGGAAUUUUGGACAAUGGGCGAAAGCCUGAUCCAGCAAUGCCGCGUGUGUGAAGAAGGCCUUCGGGUUGUAAAGCACUUUUGUCCGGAAAGAAAUCCUUGGCUCUAAUACAGUCGGGGGAUGACGGUACCGGAAGAAUAAGCACCGGCUAACUACGUGCCAGCAGCCGCGGUAAUACGUAGGGUGCAAGCGUUAAUCGGAAUUACUGGGCGUAAAGCGUGCGCAGGCGGUUUGCUAAGACCGAUGUGAAAUCCCCGGGCUCAACCUGGGAACUGCAUUGGUGACUGGCAGGCUAGAGUAUGGCAGAGGGGGGUAGAAUUCCACGUGUAGCAGUGAAAUGCGUAGAGAUGUGGAGGAAUACCGAUGGCGAAGGCAGCCCCCUGGCAAGUACUGACGCUCAUGCACGAAAGCGUGGGGAGCAAACAGGAUUAGAUACCCUGGUAGUCCACGCCCUAAACGAUGUCAACUAGUUGUUGGGGAUUCAUUUCCUUAGUAACGUAGCUAACGCGUGAAGUUGACCGCCUGGGGAGUACGGUCGCAAGAUUAAAAACUCAAAUGAAUUGAC
rnacentral:rRNA from 1 species